AACCUCUGGAGAGAACCGUUAAAUCGGUCGCCGAAGGAGCAAGUCUUGCACUCACGCAAGGUGAAACUCUCAGGCAAAAGGACAGAGGAGU
rnacentral:ncRNA from 1 species